rnacentral:lncRNA from 1 species
AAAAAAGGUGUUUCAAAGAUUUGAAUAAUACGCAUGCAUGUGGUUUAAGUACCGGUGAAAUUUCAUUCAAUAGUACGUUGUAUUAUGUGUUGCACAAAAGAGACAAAUUUUCAGCCAAAAACAACAAAAACCAAGUGCAUGUGUUUUGUCUUUUUUGUAUCUUUUAUACAUGCGAGCACGUAUAUUGCUGAAAAUUUGACCCCUUACACUGCACUGCUAUAUAUGUGUGCCCACAAAAAUUUGAAAAUUUUUGAGCCGUAAAAAUCUGGUUUUUUGAACUUCAAAAGAGCAGGCACUAUGUGCCCGUGCUCAGAUGUCAAUAUUCGCCGGGUUUCACACUUUAAGGACCAGCUCGCGCAGUCGGUCUAGGUACAUUAAAUUGUCAUUAGUCAUUACGAACGCGGAGAUCUUAUGUCGUCGCGGUCAUGCGAGGCAGUCUACACGGAAGCAUAGGCAUAAAAUGCAAUAUUGGAGCCCUAAUCUUCAUGGGUAGUGACCGUGAUGGGGAAAGAAGUGACUGGACUUGCAGCUUCUGAACUAACACCUGAGCUCAGCUCGUGGUGACACUUCAAGUGCAAAUUACACGGAGGCACGCGCACGACACGACGGAUUCAAGUUCAAGAUGACGAAGGGCAUGCUCGGCAACGUCGUGUUCGUUGGAAUUAUGUCAGACGCAUUGACAAUUAGGCUUGUCUUCUCCCAAAGUCCCAAUGGUGACGCGGAUUAAAUUGAAGAGGAAACUGCAUAAACCACCAACUAUUGAUAUUGAUUUUGCACAAAACAUCUACUAUACGGGUUUGUUAGACAGAAUAAUAAAUAUUGAUAUAAUCUGUUGAGGCUAUUUCUAAUCCAAUGUUUACAUAAUCUUGUUAUGCAGAUGUCAUGUGUGAAACUCUUUUCAGUUGUAUUGUCUUGAACCGUUUAGGAUGGCACAACCAGUUUCUACCACAACUAUUGCGGUAUCAAAUAUCAAGGUGAGGCACUUAUAUGUGAUUAUCAGUCAAGAUGAGCUAUAACAAGUUGAAGGUCCAGCUAUCUCCAGGGGUUCACUACCACAGACCGAUGGGUUUGAAUUUUGAUGUGUGUGUGAGUGGGGUGUAAGAGGAAAUUUGAGCUGACUGCAUCAUGCACAACUGCCAGAGGUGGAAAGUUUGGACAGAGGGUGGAGAGACAAAAAUAGUGGAUGAAAUAAGAGAAAGAAAAGAAGAUGAGGAGUUAUUUAAUGGUAAAAGAAUUGUCAAUAACACCACCCUAUUUGGACGAGUAUCCUAAAGGUUUAUGUUAAACUACAAAAAUAUGUAUGCUCUGUAGCAACGGAUGGGCAAUUAACUUGCGAUGGAUUCAGGGAAAGACACCAUCGAGUUAAUGUCUAGCGGGGGAAAGGAGCCAUGGACGUGGUUGCACAAGACACCAAUUUACCUGGAGGACACCCUUGGCACCGAAAAUUGACCUAGGAGGGCCAGAUCGAUGUCACGGAUCGCCCGAGGUAUAAAUCGUAUUGUAUGAAGCCCAUGGCACCAGAAAAUCGCCAUGGGAUGGCCAUAUUGAUGUCGUUGUUGAAUCCAGCUACUCACCGUGACAUAUAUGUGCUCACCGCAACUCAUCAGAUCUGACCAAAACAGAUAACCGGGGAGGGGAUGGGCGACAUAGCGAUUGAUGGGAGGGGAGGGGAUG